rnacentral:rRNA from 1 species
UGAGCCAAGUUUAGGGUUUUCUCAAAACCCAAGCAGUAUUGAACUGAAGAGUUUGAUCAUGGCUCAGAUUGAACGCUGGCGGCAGGCCUAACACAUGCAAGUCGAGCGGAUGAAGGGAGCUUGCUCCUGGAUUCAGCGGCGGACGGGUGAGUAAUGCCUAGGAAUCUGCCUGGUAGUGGGGGAUAACGUCCGGAAACG